rnacentral:misc_RNA from 1 species
UGCCAUUGCAUAUGUGAGGCCCUUGUAAAUGUUUUCUGAGGUUAUGUAUCAGUUGACUGUUGUUUAUUGUGCUCUCUCCUACUUUGUUUCAUUGUGUACCCUCCUUUCUUUUUUGUUGGCAUGAGCUGCUGACUGUAUUGAGAAAUUGUGUUUUCUAUUUUAGUUUCAUUUCCUUUUUUUUUUUUAAGAGAAACAGAAAGGAAAU